UUUUAUUUGACGCCAUAGGUUCAAAAGCACAAGUCCCAGAGCAGCCUUAGCAGCCCAGAUUCAGUCAGUAGCAGCAGACGUAGCAGUGAGUCCUCAUCAUUUGAGGUUGCUCCUUAUUUCAGUUUUAUAUUAGACACAGUUUAUUUUAUUAGACUGAGUUAGUUGGGGACCUGUCCCAUCAACUCCACAGUUCAGACAGUU
rnacentral:lncRNA from 1 species